rnacentral:rRNA from 1 species
GGGUCAGUAGGUUGGUCGUGCCACCGGUACGUACUGGUCUCACUGAUUCCUCCUCCCUGAAGAACCGUAAUGCCAUUAAUUUGGUGUUGCGGGGAAACAGGACUGUUACUUUGAAAGAAUUAGAGUGUUUAAAGCAAGCUAACGCUUGAAUACAUUAGCAUGGAAUAAUGAAAUAGGACGAUCGAUCCUAUUUUGUUGGUUUCUAGGAUUGACGUA